UGACCGAUAGUGAACCAGUACCGUGAGGGAAAGGCGAAAAGAACCCCGGCGAGGGGAGUGAAAAAGAACCUGAAACCGUGUACGUACAAGCAGUGGGAGCACAGAGCAAUCUGUGUGACUGCGUACCUUUUGUAUAAUGGGUCAGCGACUUAUAUUCUGUAGCAAGGUUAACCGAAUAGGGGAGCCGAAGGGAAACCGAGUCUUAACUGGGCGUUAAGUUGCAGGGUAUAGACCCGAAACCCGGUGAUCUAGCCAUGGGCAGGUUGAAGGUUGGGUAACACUAACUGGAGGACCGAACCGACUAAUGUUGAAAAAUUAGCGGAUGACUUGUGGCUGGGGGUGAAAGGCCAAUCAAACCGGGAGAUAGCUGGUUCUCCCCGAAAGCUAUUUAGGUAGCGCCUCGUGAAUUCAUCUCCGGGGGUAGAGCACUGUUUCGGCAAGGGGGUCAUCCCGACUUACCAACCCGAUGCAAACUGCGAAUACCGGAGAAUGUUAUCACGGGAGACACACGGCGGGUGCUAACGUCCGUCGUGAAGAGGGAAACAACCCAGACCGCCAGCUAAGGUCCCAAAGUCAUGGUUAAGUGGGAAACGAUGUGGGAAGGCCCAGACAGCCAGGAUGUUGGCUUAGAAGCAGCCAUCAUUUAAAGAAAGCGUAAUAGCUCACUGGUCGAGUCGGCCUGCGCGGAAGAUGUAACGGGGCUAAACCAUG
rnacentral:rRNA from 1 species